rnacentral:rRNA from 1 species
UCAUAGAAUUUCUUUAAAUUCAUGAUGUCGUAAGGGAAAAUAAUGAUAAUACCUUACUAUGAGUGUCGUCCAAAUCUGGUGCCAGAAGACUCGGUAAGACCAGAGACGCAAACGUUAAUCAUCAUAAACAGGCGUAAAGGGUUUGUAGGCAGCUUUUAAAAAAUAAUUAAAGGAAAAUUAAUUGAAAGCUAGAAUCAAAAAGAGGUUAUAGUGUAUAACGCCUAGAGGAGGGCUGAUAUCCAUAGAUCCUAGGCAGAAUACUCAGGGCGAAGGCCACUCUCCACUAAUGAUUGACGCUGAGAAACGAAGGUUAGGGUAGGAAAUAGGAUUAGAUACCCCGGUACUCCUUUCUGUAAACGAUGAAUGGUAGUCAUUAGUUAAAUUAAAAUAAUUAGAGGCGAAGUUAACACAAUAACCAUUCCGCCUUGUGAGUACUACUGCAAAGUAGAAAACAAAAAAAUUAGUCGGUCUCGAAGCAAACGGAGUGAAGCAUGUUAUUUA